rnacentral:rRNA from 1 species
CCUACGGGAGGCUGCAGUAGGGAAUCUUCCACAAUGGGCGAAAGCCUGAUGGAGCAACGCCGCGUGGGUGAAGAAGGUCUUCGGAUUGUAAAGUUCUGUGAUGGGGGAUGAACACAAUGACGGUACCCCAAUAGCAAGCCACGGCUAACUACGUGCCAGCAGCCGCGGUAAUACGUAGGUGGCAAGCGUUAUCCGGAAUGACUGGGCGUAAAGGUUGCGUAGGUGGUUUAGUAAGUUGGCGGUGUAAUUCCGGGGCUCAACCUCGGCGCUACCGCCAAAACUAUUAGACUAGAGUGCAGGAGGGGUAAGUGGAAUUCCUAGUGUAGCGGUGGAAUGCGUAGAUAUUAGGAGGAACAUCAGGGGCGAAGGCGACUUACUGGACUGUAACUGACACUGAGGCACGAAAGCGUGGGGAGCAAACAGGAUUAGAUACCCGAGUAGUC